GUACUCGCUUCGGCGAUACAUAUACUAAAAUUGGAACGAUACAGAAAAGAUCAGCAUGGCCCCCUACGUAUCUGCCAAAAUACAUCAGCUACACUAGCUUAUU